rnacentral:rRNA from 1 species
AACGAACGCUGGCGGCAGGCCUAACACAUGCAAGUCGAACGCUCCGCAAGGGGAGUGGCGCACGGGUGAGUAACGCGUGGGAAUCUACCUAUUAGUAAGGAAUAACAGUUGGAAACGACUGCUAAUACCUUAUACGCCCUACGGGGGAAAGAUUUAUCGCUAAUAGAUGAGCCCGCGUAAGAUUAGCUAGUUGGUGAGGUAAUGGCUCACCAAGGCUACGAUCUUUAGCUGGUCUGAGAGGAUGAUCAGCCACACUGGAACUGAGACACGGUCCAGACUCCUACGGGAGGCAGCAGUGGGGAAUAUUGGACAAUGGGCGAAAGCCUGAUCCAGCCAUGCCGCGUGAAUGAUGAAGGCCUUAGGGUUGUAAAGUUCUUUCGCCGCCGAGGAUAAUGACGGUACCCGCAAAAGAAGUCACGGCUAACUUCGUGCCAGCCGCCGCUGUAA